CAAAAAGUAGUAUAUUUAAUUACAUUUCGUUUACACCGAAAAAAAGGUCAAUGGCCCUUUUUGA
rnacentral:tRNA from 1 species